AAAUAGGCCUUAUUCAAGGCCAUAUCGAACUUGAAUUUAGAACAUUU
rfam:Hymenolepis nana genome assembly, scaffold: HNAJ_contig0001662